UACAGAGGAUGCAAGCGUUAUCCGGAAUGAUUGGGCGUAAAGCGUCUGUAGGUGGCUUUUUAAGUCCGCCGUCAAAUCCCAGGGCUCAACUCUGGACAGGCGGUGGAAACUACCAAGCUGGAGUACGGUAGGGGAGAUUGGAAUUCCUGGUGUAGCGGUGGAAUGCGCAGAUAUCAGGAGGAACACCAAUGGCGAAGGCAGAUCUCUGGGCCGUAACUGACGCUGAGGAGCGAAAGCAUGGGGAGCGAACAGG
rnacentral:rRNA from 1 species